GGGGUUGUGGCUCAGCGGUAGAGCACUCACCUAGCACGUGCGGAGCCCUGGGUUUGAUCCUCAGCACCACA
rnacentral:tRNA from 1 species